rnacentral:sRNA from 1 species
UGGGCUGGCUGAAAGGUCUUGGUCCACCGAACGGCGGGGAAUUUCCCC